rnacentral:rRNA from 1 species
GACGAACGCUGGCGGCGUGCCUAAUACAUGCAAGUAGAACGCACAGUUUAUACCGUAGCUUGCUACACCAUAGACUGUGAGUUGCGAACGGGUGAGUAACGCGUAGGUAACCUGCCUGGUAGCGGGGGAUAACUAUUGGAAACGAUAGCUAAUACCGCAUAAUAUUGAUUAUUGCAUGAUAAUUAAUUGAAAGGUGCAAUUGCACCACUACCAGAUGGACCUGCGUUGUAUUAGCUAGUAGGUGAGGUAACGGCUCACCUAGGCGACGAUACAUAGCCGACCUGCGAGGCUGCUCGGCCACACUGGGACGGAGACACGGCCCAGACUCCUACGGGAGGCAGCAGUAGGGAAUCUUCGGCAAUGGACGAAAGUCUGACCGAGCAACGCCGCGUGAGUGCCGAAGGUUUUCGGAUCGUAAAGCUCUGUUGUAAGAGAAGAACGGGUGUGAGAGUGGAAAGUUCACACUGUGACGGUAGCUUACCGGAAAGGGACGGCUAACUACGUG